CCGCUAAUACCGCAUAACCCGCUGGUGCCGCAUGGCACUGACGGAAAAGAUUUAUCGGUGUGAGAUGGACCCGCGUCUGAUUAGCCAGUUGGCAGGGUAACGGCCUACCAAAGCGACGAUCAGUAGCCGGCCUGAGAGGGUGAACGGCCACAUUGGGACUGAGACACGGCCCAGACUCCUGCGGGAGGCAGCAGUGGGGAAUAUUGCACAAUGGGGGAAACCCUGAUGCAGCGACGCCGCGUGAGUGAAGAAGUAUUUCGGUAUGUAAAGCUCUAUCAGCAGGGAAGAAGAAAGACGGUACCUGACUAAGAAGCCCCGGCUAACUACGUGCCAGCAGCCGCGGUAAUACGUAGGGGGCAAGCGUUAUCCGGAUUUACUGGGUGUAAAGGGAGCGUAGACGGCUGUGCAAGUCUGAAGUGAAAGCCCGUGGCUCAACCGCGGAACUGCUUUGGAAACUGUAUAGCUUGAGUACUGGAGAGGCAGGCGGAAUUCCUAGUGUAGCGGUGAAAUGCGUAGAUAUUAGGAGGAACACCAGUGGCGAAGGCGGCCUGCUGGACAGAAACUGACGUUGAGGCUCGAAAGCGUGGGGGAGCAAACAGGAUUAGAUACCCUGGUAGUCCACGCGGUAAACGAUGAAUGCU
rnacentral:rRNA from 1 species